GUCUGAUCUUCAGGGGCACGUCCACACAGCCCGGAAAACCCACAACAACCAGUUGAGUCCGGCCGUGAAAGCCUUCGACAAGCCAUUGGACAGAAUUAUGUUUGGAAGUUCCACUGUUCUUUACUCGUGGUAGUUGCUGAAGUGGAAGGCGUUUGGGGUCCCACGAAGGGUCAACAUUGUGCUUUUCUUUCUUCCAGGAUUUCUUACCAGGGACCUACGAUCUCCACAACUGACGUGCCCAGGAGGAAGUUGAAGACGGUCCCGAGCAAAGCGACGUGAAGAGGGUCCUCUUCCAAGUCACAGGAGGAUGGGGGCUGUUGUAACCCAUGUCAUGAGAAAAUUAUUAAAGCGUUUUAAGCAUUAUUUUUACCUUCCUGUCCCCCACCCCUCCCUCGGUUUUACUGUUCUGCUGACUCUGUGCAGGUAUUUCUGGAGGAAAUCCUUGUUGGGAAAAAAAAUCUGCAGAGCAUUUUUUUUUCUUUCUUUCUUACUGCUGCUAAGUACUGUUAUUCUGGGCCAGGCGGUGCAUGCGAUGUGUUCUUGAUGCGGUAUCCCAGGGAAAAUGGUCUGGGGGAAUGCUGAAUGCUGUUCGUCUCGCUUGACAGCCGGCGCUCCCAUUUCGGUUUAAGGAAGCAGAAAUUAACGAGGUGUCGGUUGAAACAAGAGAAACUCGGCUCUUCCAAUCCCAUUUCUGAGUGUUAAUUCAACAGCGGGAAGUCUGCACCGAGAAAAUCAGAGGCCCGUGUGGCGACCAUGAGAGAGACCCGAAUUGCUGUGUGCCAAAUGCCAUAGAUGGAGACAGUCAUGUGGCAUUUAUAAGGGACCGAGCGAGCGUUCGUACGUGGUGGUUUUUCUGCCCGCAGGUGAUUUCGUCUGCCGCAAAGGGCGGAUGGCUCGCUCAGUUGCGCAGCUUUGGUGACCAAAAAGGGCGGAUGGCUCGCUCAGCUGCGCAGCUUUGGUGACCAAAAAGGGUGGAUGGCUCGCUCAGCUGCGCAGCUUUGGCACAGCUUUGGUGACCAAAACGUCAAACUGACCCUUUUGGCAUAGGGCUUUUGUGCCCAGGUCAGCUGGGCGAACUUGUGACCUGCUUUUUGGGGUUCUCUGGGCGGGUCUUAGCCGAGAUAGGCCUUGCUGUACAUGUGGGUGUAAAGUACUGCUCUCCUUUGAGGCUUCCGGCGUGCUGCCUCUCCUUCCUGCGGUCAUCCCGUUAGGAACACUCAGUUGUUGUUCUGAUUGUCUGUUUCACCGUUGGCUAAUUGUGAUUCACUUGUCUCCACGGUAGGUUUAGCCUGAGGAUGUCUGUCCAAGGGAAGAUGCUCAGUGACUUCUUCCAAGUUUAAGAGGAUUUUGGCGUCAAACUCGCCACUGACCCUUGGGGAAUGUGUAACCUUCCUGCUUUGUUUCGGUUGGCCGUGCUUGGUACUGUGGAUUUGAUCCCACGGGGCUCUUAACAGUGGUUUUAGAUCCUUCCUCUUAACCGUAGGUGUCAAACUCGCGGCCCUCCAGAUGUUAUGGACUACAGUUCCCAUCAUCCCCUGCCAGCAUCAUGCUGGCAGGGGGAUGAUUGGAACUGUAGUCCAUAACAUCUGGAGGGCUGCAAGUUUGACACCUGUGCUCUUAACUGUUGAACAGAUCCUUGGGAUCCCAAGUAUGGAAGUAUCCCAGUGCUUGAAGGGGCUCAGGGGACCACAUGCCAGGGUUUUCCAAAGCUUGGAAGAAUUGUUCUGUGGUCGUUCUGGGAACCCGGUCUGGAUUCUCUCAGCCCUUAACGGUGCCAGUUUCCUUAUCUACCUCCCCUACCGAAUCCACGCAUAGCAUCAAUCGGCAGGUGGAUUACAAGAGAGUUCAAAAAGAGAGCGAAUACUCCUCAUCUCUUAAGAAGUACAUAGUUGAGAGCAACACGAAAUUUUAAGUGUCAGCUCUUAGGUUAUCUUGGAUGGCAAGAUGCUUGCAGUGGGCUCCAAACCUUCAAUCCUGCUCUCCUCGAGGAAGAAAAAUCCAGCCAGCUGUUAUAACGUUCCAGUUUCACGCAGCUGCGUUUGCGGCUUGGAUCGGCAGCCUUCCCAGCAAAGAGGAUGGGAGGAUGUGUUGAUAUACGUUCAUAUAAGAGUUGCUUCGACUUUGCAAGUUCACCUGGUUAGCAGUUAGAAACCUCUGCCCAAGAGAAGGUUCCAUCCCAGUGAAUUUAAAAAAAACAAAACAGCAGUGUUAUUACCUUUUGCUGGUUCUAGCACAGCCAGGUAUAGAAGGACGUUGUGAGAUCCUUUGUUGCGAUGGGUCGGAGCGUCAGUUAGUGUAGCACUGAAGUGAUGUCUGAGGUCGCGGACACUGAGCUGUGGUUGCCGUUGGCGAUUCCAGCAGGCUGCACCUCAUGUCCGGACAUCGGGCGAACGUCAAACUGCCAGAUUUUUGGACCGCCCCCAAACUCUGCUUUCACCAGCUUCCUGUUGUCUCCUCCUUGACUGGAGCUCCUUAACACUUUCUGACGCUCUCGCAAAGUCGUUCUUUUCACCGUAUAACACUUCGGGGUUGUGGGUUAGUUGAGAGAUUGUUCUGUCUCGUGCCGACGUAGGAAAGACACUGCCAAAAAUUAACCCUUCAUAAACACUAAUCUCCUACAAGCUGCCUUGGUACAGCUGUGACUUUAAACGUGUCCCCUUCUUGUGUUGCUGCUUGGGUGGUAGUUUUGGGGAGGUGCCCAGACCAGAGUGCCUUACUGCGGGGCUCGCGGGGCUCCUGCGGGAGCAGCGUUUGGCCCGGGAAGGAGUCUUCCGCUUUUAUUGCUGUUGUUGUUAUUUCAGCGUGGCUCCAGAUGUGUCCUCUUCCCUCUGUCCUCUCGCCUGAUGUAAACGAAACUCUUAGAAUUGGCCUCAAGCUUUUUAGCAGCAUUCCAUGUUCCAUUGUUCCCCCCCCCCCCCCCGAAAACAUGAUGGUAUCUACACGGGAGCAGAGCGUCCCAUUUUGGGGAGAGCGUCGCCACAUGUUGCCGAGGACGUUCUUCUCUUCGAAGCGUCUUCUGCCUGCCCGGCUUCUCCGGCAUCAGAUUGCUGUCGGAUCUUCUUCAGUCGUACAUGUGCGUGACCGCUUUGUGUUACAGGCAGCGGCAAAUGAUUAGGGCCGUGGUGGCGAACCUUCGGCACUUCAGAUGUUAUGGGCUACAAUUCCCAUCAGCACUCCAGAUGUUAUGGGCUACAAUUCCCAUCAGCCCCAAUUGGCCAUGCUGGCAGGGGCUGAUGGGAAUUGUAGUCCAUAACAUCUGGAGUGCCAAAGGUUCUCCACCACGGGAUUAGGGGCUGAGAUUCCUGGUGUCCCAUAGAUUCCAGCUGUCAUUGCCUGUAUUUAUAUGCAGGGGGGCUUCUGACCCCUCUUACCUGCCCGAUUGAUUGGGAGAGUGUAGACCACGUUAGUUUUGGACGGAUUUUCGAAUAGAAACGGAUUGCUCGUUGCUGAGACGUUCCACAGAAAUCUCGUGCCAUCGAUGCGGCUUUCUCGUGUUGCGAGGGAGAUUUUUCAACUUGCUGGGUCCAGUCGGCAGUGCAGGCCGGGGCUUGCCGGGCCUCUUCCCGUGAUAGGUUGCAGGGAUCAGCAGAGGAUUGUGGGUGGAUUGGACCUAACGCCCUCCAAACGUUACCUCUCCCCUGGUGGGAAUUCUCGGCUCGCGCUGCAAGUUUCAAAGAAUCUGAUGACAAACCCGGGCAGUUUGUGGCACGCACCUUCUAGCACGCUCUGCCAGCAUGCGCGCAGCAUGCUGCAGGGAUAUUGCAUAGCACGGCGUCAGACUUCACUCACAACCCUGUGUGCCCCGCCUCCCCUCCAUGCUGCCUCUUUGGAGCCUACCCGCACAUGGUUUCCACAACAUCUGGAGAUGCCAGGCGGGGCUCUUGCCUUCCCUCUCGGGGGGCUGGGGAAGAGAGCAUGCACAGCCCUGUGCCAGGUGGCGUGGACCCCCCGACUCCUCUCUGAAGGGAGCGUCUCACCUAAUCGCCCUGAUGUCAGUUUCCUUCACUGGGGCGGUCAGGUGAGCAGCGUUUCAACUGUGAUGCGCAGUCGGCAGCGGCAGCAGCAUGUGCUUCUUGGGCACCAUGUUCAACGUUGGCAGGGGCCGAGCCUGAGACUUCCCUGGUCUUAACGGUGCCCAUUUCGCUCUCUCAGAAGCCUCACGCCUUUCUAGCUUCUCUGUGUCUCACUGCGGAGUCGAGCAUGCUUUUCGUUGAUGGCGGGCUGGCUGGCGGCGUAGGGCGGCAGCUGUCGUGGACGGUUCUUUGGUGAGGAUUUGGGAUGAAGGCCCAUUUCGGGGAGGCUCAGGGAAGCAACAGCGGGCGCGUCGGGCCAGGAUCAAGCACGGGCCCCUUGAGCACGGGCGCCCCCGCUCCGGCGGCGCACAGUGAGUCGCCUCCCAUCAGCCUCCUGGUGCCGUCGACGCCCAAACCGAGCUUGUUCCCCGGCUCCGUCAGGGCAUCCAAAACCUUCUCGAAGGCAGAGGAGGCCCUGCCCGGUUGGGCAUUGCUGCACUGAUCCAGCUCAAGGAAAUCCGCCCCAUUCGUAGGCAGGAGUGCGUCUGUCCAGGUGGGGGUUUCUGCCCCCUCCUGGACCCCGAGUUUCCUUCCAGGGGACAAGACGCGUAGAUGGGUUCAGCGCUCGCUAAGAGCACCUCUCUUCCUUGUUGACGACUGCCGUCUUCCUGUCUCCUUUACGGCGCCGCAGAGCCCACUCUGCACAUAUCGGAUGUCUCUCAACACUGCGAGAGCCUUUGUGAAGCAAUAACGUUCCCCACCCACCCACCCACUCACCCACCCACCAAAAAAAAGUGUGUGUUAAGAGAGAGAGAACACACCAUCUCUGUGAAAUUCUUUGUACUGUUUCUCUACGUGUAUGCGGUUCUCCAGUCUGGGUUUAAGCCUGCCAAGUCACGGAAGAGGGCCAAAAAAAUACCUUCGGCUGCGUCUUUUGAUAGAUACGCUGCUUCGAGCCCGCUCUCUCCAAGAGUGGGAAGAGGCAGAAUUGCUUCUCUCCUCUUUGAGCAAAGGCUGGGCCAGCGGAGGGGGGUCAUCUACUCUGUAAGCAAACAUUUGGCAUUUCUCCCUUCCCUCCAGCCACCCCCAGUAUGUGGGGACAGGCAUAGGCCGGGCCGAAGGUCUCCGGCCUGUCAUUGGUGGUAUUUCCAGGCAGGGGCAGCAACCAGGCAGGGGUAGCAACAGGAGGCAGCAACCACAGGGAGCGCAACAGGCCUUUCUCCUGGAGGCGUAAGCCAUCUCGGAUUGGGUGGUUUCGCACCCCAGUCUCCGGGAGGCAGGAAGUUGUUGUUUGAAUUUGCUGUCUGGUCGUUGCCUUCCAUUUCUAGCCAAUGUUUUUUUCCUGCCUCAGAAAGGGACGGCAAGGAUCUUGAUAGCUCCUUGGGGAGUUUCUGCAAGUCUUGACUAAAUUACCCCUGUCUGGUCUGUAAUUGUUGUCUUUCCUUAGUGUGUCACUCUGUCUUCCCUCUCCUCCCCCCCGCCCCCCCGAGCUAGUGUUAGGAUUGGGAAAGAAGGUUUGUUUUUUGUCAGGGCGCCUGCUUGGCGUCAAAAUCAGGCCCACCAAAAUGGCGGCUCGAUCCUUCCCUUCCGACUCCUGGCACUGUCGGGUUCUGCUUGAACCCCUUCCUCGGUGACAGAGGCCGAGUGCUCACGCCAACAUGUUGGGGCCACGUGUCCCCGGGCGCACGCCGGCUGGUCAUGUGGGGGCGGAGAAUUGGGGCCCCCCACAUCCCUCCCUUCGACCCCGCCCCACUAGGCUACUCCUUCAGCCGGCGGAGACUCUGUCAGCCGAAGGAGCAGCCUGGUAAGGUGGGGCCGAGGGGCCUCCAACUGCCACUCAACCAAAUAAGUGGGCUGCGGGGGGAGGGGGGUGCCCAGAGCAGGUCUUUCCACGGGCGCCAUUCCCCCAUGCCUCUGCUUGGUGUUGGUGUCGAUCGAGGCAUCCUGCUGCAAAUGGUUGCUUUUUCAGCCAGCUAUGGGUAACAGCCAGUGUUGAAAUGUGGCAAAAAGCUGCCGGGACUUGCUGUCUGGAUGGCCUCUUGUGCCAGCUGUUAAUUCGCAGAACGCCUGCGCUUGAUAAGCAAGAUG